rnacentral:rRNA from 1 species
GACGAACGCUGGCGGCGUGCUUAACACAUGCAAGUCGAGCGGUAAGGCCCUUUCGGGGGUACACGAGCGGCGAACGGGUGAGUAACACGUGGGUGACCUGCCUCUAGCUCUGGGAUAAGCCCGGGAAGCUGGGUCUAAUACCGGAUAUGACCUCGCGGUGCAUGUUGCGGGGUGGAAAGCCUUGUGCGGCUAGGGAUGGGCCCGCGGCCUAUCAGCUUGUUGGUGGGGUGANGGCCUACCAAGGCGACGACGGGUAGCCGGCCUGAGAGGGCGACCGGCCACACUGGGACUGAGACACGGCCCAGACUCCUACGGGAGGCAGCAGUGGGGAAUCUUGCGCAAUGGGCGAAAGCCUGACGCAGCGACGCCGCGUGAGGGAUGACGGCC